GCGUCCCGCGUCAGGCUACCGUGUGCGCGCCUUCCAGUCCAAGUCGAGGAAAUGACUGCGUUCCGAGGGAGUUGAGCCCAUAAAGUUAACAAGCCAGACUCUGAGCUUCGGAGAAGAAGGAGGAGGAAGAGGAGGGACCCACAGACUGGCGACCUGGCCGGAGUGAUCCCCGACUCUCACCCUAUGGUAGCUGUGAUAGGCUUCAGCCCUCCUGCAGCCCUGAAUUAGAUAAGAAUAAAAUGAAUGGAUGUUAUCCGAGAGGAUGAAGUGUUGUUUCUAACCGAUUUCCUCGAAGUAUUUGCCAGCACCCAGACUGAGGGAGGCAGUGAGUUCGGCGAGCCACACGAUCUUGGAACUCUUAUGACCUUACACAAGGACUGCCACACAGACAUUAAUCCAUGAGCUCUGCUGCUCCAGGCCUGUCAGCACAAAAUCACACCCACUUUUGCCAUCAUAUAAACUCAAGAAGAAACUGACACUGCCUGUACUGAUGUUUAGUUAUCUACUCUUGUCACUAACAGUGCCGUAUCCACAGUGGUGGAAAGGCAUGUGGGCCGGAUCAAUGCCCUGCAGGGGCUUUUGGCAGGGGACAGUGUUUUGAUAAAGGACUUUGCAGAUGACAUUCCUUCUUUCCCUGCUUCCUCUCUUUCUCCCGUUUGUAAAUUUGCCCUUUCCCUCUACUUCAUGCAUUUUAAUUUUCUGAGUGCCUGUGUGUCUCUCUCGCUGCGGUUCGGUUGAUUAUGGUGUUGGG